UGCUGUACCAUGAGGGCAUGACUUGCAAGCAUGCAACAGAUUCAUGCAGGUAGAAGGCAUAAUGUCCAACCUGGCUUCCAAAGUUUCUCACCUGAUUUGUGCUCUUUGGUGGAGUCUCAGCAGUUACAGCAGAGUGCAAAAGUCUUGUAAAGACUACGUUAACUGGAAUAAGCAAGUUGCAUGCCUGAUCACAUAAGAAGAGGAAAGGAAGAUGUCACCGUACUGGAAAACCUCGCCUGACUUUUCUUGAUGAGUAUGGAAUGAAUGUGCUGGAGCAGCAAAUGCAAUGGCAGCUAACAGCGUGGAGUGUGUGCAUCUGCCAGAUGGUGAAAACAUCAAAGAUCAGAAUGGAGAACAUGAGCUCCACUCUCCAUCUUGAAAGAGAACAGCAGCACUAGUGCAGGUAUUGUCCACUAUUCAACACCAGCAGGUGUGGUCACCAUUACAUGGCAGAAAUGAAGUAAGAGGAGGUCACCCUCACAGCCCACAGACACACAGGCAAGGUUUCCUGCCUUGAAAAUAACCACCUUGACUUUGGUUCCAACAUUUCUUCAGGAACUCUAAAGUCUCCUGUUUUGUUUCACUGACCUCUGCUAAGUGAAAACUCAAAUUGGAAAUGCUGCACAUCAGAAAAUCAAAUCAUUUUCUCAUGGUCCUGUGGAAAAAAAAAAAAAUCACAGAUAUAUUUCACUUUAUUUAUUUGUUCUUCACUUUGAUAGCACAUCUCAAUCACACUUUCUAAUUAGAUCUUACAAGAUCUUUCACCUGCACAGGGAAAAAUAGCAAAAAAAAUGGUCAUGCAUGAGAUAUGAAUGCAUUCACACCAAGUAUGUUGUACUUUCAGG